AUCACCUGGCAGGGGAGAUACCGUGAUCAAGAAGGCGGUUCACCCUGGGCGAGGCUCAGCCAUUGCACUCUGGCUGUGCUGAGCCCUAAAAAUUCUCCAAAUGUGGGAAUCUUGACUGCAUAAUUUCUGAUAGUGGGGGACUGCAUUUUUGCUCUCCCCUA
ensembl:snRNA U1 U1 spliceosomal RNA